UAUAGUUGCAGGUAGGAAAUCUACACUGCUUAUCGGUCAAGUCGAGUUAGCGCUUAAGCGAACUGUAAGUUCGCCGACCGCCGAGCCGCCCUUGAGGCGGUUUUUUGUUUU
rnacentral:sRNA from 12 species